AUGACGCAGUUCAACUCUUGUUGUCUUUCACACAAGUUCAGAUUCAUCUACCCUGUUCUGCCUUUCUGCAUGGUAUUUUGUGGGAUAGCUUUGGUGAAUCUGAGAACCUGGAGACGGCCUGCCGCAUGUGCCUUAUUGGUCUCCAACCUAGUGCGGUCUGCCUGUACACAGGUCUGCUUCACCAGCGAGGCACCCUGGAUGUCAUGGGUCACCUCCAGACCUUGUGUGACAACAGCGAUCCUUCAACCCCUCCACUGCCUGAAGUCCUCUUUCCAAUGCCCUGUCACUCUACACCUUUCUACAGCCACAUCCACUGUCCAAUGAAGAAGCAUUUCCUAGAAUGUCCACCAGAUCUCAUAGGAGACAAGAGCUAUGUCGAUGAAGCUGAGAGAUUAUUCGCUGAUCCUCAUCAUUGGUUGACCUCAUUUCCUUAAGUCAAUGCUGCCAACCCACCUUGUGUUCUUUGAUGUUCUGAAGAAGGAGAUCUCGGCAUUCUUGGAGGGGAAUAGAUUUAUGAGAAGUACAGAAAUAUUCCACAGUCACGUUCCUGAAGGACGAGUUGGAAAAAGCAUCCUAGUUUAUCAAAGGCACUGAAGAGAAUGAGAAUACAUUUCUAAGAAGCACAAAGAUUUUCCCUUACUCAUGUAUCUCAAGGACGAGUUUGAAGAAGCAUCCUAGUUUACAAAAUGCACUGAACAGAACCAUCUUGACCAUUGGAAAGUUAAAUCAAAAUGGAUCUGUAAAGCAAAGGAAUAAAUUAUAAUUAAAACUGAAUAACAGAUUGAUAUUUUAAACAGUGAAAAUAAUGCAACACCUGGCCAGACAGUUUACUAUAUUAGGGGGGGAAAGAAGCAAUCAAUAUUCACUUUUUUUAUUUAUUGGGAAGCUGCAAUUCAUUUUCAACAGCACAUCUGUAAAUGAAAGGAAAUAAAUCAGCCUUAAUAAAACAAGCCAUAGUUGGAAUGUUACUGAACAAUUUAACGACAACACAGUUGCACUUUAUCUCACCAUUUUAAACAAAUAUGUAACGUAGCAGUACAUUAUAGAAAUCCACUGUGGUUUUGCUACUUUUAAAGUUUUACUGCACACAACAGUAUCAUUGUCAGCAAUUGUUUAGGCCAUCAUCUCACAAUUAUCAAUCUGUCACCUUAUGACAAUUUGGAAUUGAAAUUAAAGUGUAUUUGUCAGUGCAUAACUUCUCAAUGCCACUGACAAAAAUUAUAUUUCUUUCCAUUGUUGGAUCCAUCCAAUGAAUCAUUAAUCAUUCACAAUAGGCCUACAUUUAGACAAUUAAAAUGGUAACAGAUUAUUAUUAUUAUUUAAUUUUUUAAACAAGGCCCAAAAAUAAGAAAUGUUGUGCAAAUUACAGUCAGUGAUGGUUCUUAAAAAGAACAUGUAACAGCUGACCUGAUGACAAUGAAUGUGUACUACAGAGUUUGCUACUGUCAGAUUUACUUACUGUAUUCCAAUGUUUAAAUAUGACUAACUACAGCAAUUAAAGACAAUUUAUGGCUAAAUCAUUGCAGCAAUAAUUUUCUUUGUGCGCAUGAGAUUAGAUGCAGUCAGAUACACCACCAUUGACACUAACCUAAGGAUUGCUUACACAACACAGGAAGCAAGGGGACAUUCAGGCAGUGUUAAAAGAACAUUGUGCAAAAUCACAAAAACAGAAGAAUAAGAAGUGAAAAGGCUUUCCAAACACAUCCUAAAUAGCCUUUGCAACUACAAUAUCAGCCAUUAUAAAAAACAGAUUCAUUAGGUAAGAUUAUUCUCAAUAUUUGGGAUCAAAGGGCAUAGGACCCAAC